ensembl:lncRNA
GGCCCAGUGCGGGGUUCCAUGGCCGGCCGGGGCUGCAGCCGGUCGGGGAACCCGGCUCGAGCCCAGGUUCCGGCGGUGCUGUCCGGAAGGGCGACGCGCUCGGCCGGCCUGCCGGCCUCCCCAGCCUGCUGCGCCGCUCGCCCGAUCGCGCCAGCAAAGCCCGGGCGAGCGCGCCCGGCCCGACGCCGAGACCCGGGCCCUGCGGGAAGGACCGGGGCUCGCCGAGGCCGGGCUCCGGGGCAGCGCCGGUUCUCCGCUCCGAGGCCAGGCCCGCCCCGGCGCCCUGACUCCGCGCAGCCCCUCUGGCGCGCAGGCGGUCGCCGCAGCCCCGCUCCCUGCGCGAGUGAACGGAGGCGCCGAGCUAGGGGCUGGCGUCCACCCCUCGCCUCCCCGGGGCUCCCCAGGGCGCCCUUCUAGGAGAGAGAGCCAACGAAGAGUGGUGGUGUAAAAUUCAAAGCGAAAACACAAUUUACAGUGUUACAGCUUCACGAACAUUACUUUAAAAUACAGGGUAAUUGUAGAGGAUGUGAGUAUUUACUUGUAGAACAGUACCGGGAUGAGGGGAGUUGCUCUCCGAUUGGACCUGCGCGUAAGGAGCGUGAACUCACCUUUUUCAUAGUCAGUGUUUGGUACAAUGCCCAGACCCUACCAGCUACUCAGGAGGUACUUCUAGAAAGAAUAAGGACUCCAGGCCAGGCCAGUGGAAGCACAGACAGCUGUUUGUCUAGAUGUGUGGACUGGGGUCACCUGUUCUGAAAUCCACUUGCGAAGUGUUCCGGGUUGCAGCCCUCCGCCUGCUCACCCUGGACAACCCACUCCUCUCCACGUUCUGCUUAUUGAAAGCCACUGCAUAUUGUGCCUGAUAACCCCAAGCUGAAAAAAAGAAGAAAGGAGGUGAGCAGUGAGAUAGAGUCUGAGAGGAAGAAUGAGAGAAAAAAAGAAGGAAGCAGGAAACUUUUAACCUUGCUUGGUAUUUUAGGAGGAAUUCCAAAGGAGCUUGCUUUCACCAGAGGAAAUGCAUUCCGAAUCUGACUAACGUGGGUAUGGACCAAAUUUCUGUGAUAUUAGUCUGUGAAAACAGAAGUCUACUUCGAGAAAGAGAGAUGUUCAACUUGGCUCAAUUCAGAUCUUAUCUCUGUUGGUGCAACUUGCUCAUUCCCGUGAAACUUUGGCACACUUAGACGAGUCAAAAAUCUGCAUGAUUGAUGUGCUAACACAUCUGCACCAGCAACCUCAAACAUAAACGUGAAGGAUGUCAUGAGGAUGUGCUCUUAACUUCUUGGAAGAAAUGAGUUAGACAGAUGAGUGCAUAUAUGGAAAGCAUACAGGCAUUUGGCUCUGAUGUAAGGGAAUUGGUCAACCACUGCCUAGGGCAGUUUAAGCCAGUUCAAAAGUUCCUCCUCCUCUGUGUAUUUUCAUUCUACAGUAAAUAAAAUACUUUGUUUUAUAGUUUUGUUGAUCUGGCAAAGAGCUUUGAAAAUUCCAGUUCUCACGAGGCUCUACUAGAAGAGCCACCAUUCCACAGAGCUGAGGCCUCCAUCCCAGAACAUCUUCUAAGAUUUGCUUCUUGUGCCCAAACUGUAGCAUGUGGGCCAAACAGGAGCUGGCUCCCGUGUGCAUGUUGUUGAAGUGUGGACUUAGGUCUUUUAUGCUUCACAAACCCGCCCCUCUCUAUCCUUAGGGUCACAGAACACAAACAGGGAAACCCUCACAGCUCUCAGGCCCGCAUCUCACAAAAGGCCAGGACAUUCUGAAGGUCUGCAAUGUCAUUCCCAAAUCCAGAGGCAACGUUCAGGUUCUAAAGUUCAACCUGAUAAGGAAUGCUCUGAAGGGCUCUGGCGGAGGUUGGGUAGGAUGAAAGACUGAGAAAUUAUUCCCCAAAAUAGUUUCACAGGAACCACCAUACGAUUCAACCAUGGGCUAUUUUUUGUUAAAGAACUUGGGUUAGCGGUCUGGUGUCGGUCACUUCUCAUGCCUUAUCCUUUGCAACAUUCAACUAUUGUCUUCAUUUAAUAUCAUUCAGGGCCUCACAGAAGACAAACCUGGGUCUGGGGCUCAUCUCUGAUUUAGCUCACUACCCAGACUGCACACACAUUUCCUUCUAACUCUUGAAUUUCUGGUAAAGACCUGCUCACCUGACAGGAUACCUUGAGGACUUGGUGAGAUAAUAUAGGACUUAGCUCAUAAUAGAAGCUCUGCUAAGUGUAAAUACUGCUUUUUAUUAGACACAGUGACCAAUGCACCCUUACCCCGGAAGGGCCUUUUGUUCGUUUUCCUCCCAUUGUUGCCUAGUGGCAGCUGCCAUGGGACCCUUAAGCAGGGUCAGUGCUUGACUGAGGGACACUGUUUUAUUCAGAUUUCUUUUCUGCCUUUCCUUCUCCCCGUGGUCACAGACAUACUAGAUUAUGCCCUUGCAACAGCCUUAAACCACAGGAAUGUCGCAGGGUGAACCUGUUACACAUUGUCCUUGAAAAGCUUCAAGCCAGAGGAAUGUCCCAAGGUGUCCCUUGGACCUAGUGCCUUCCAGACCCUGAGUGGCUGGGGCCACAGCGGAAUUGUCCCAGUCACAGUUUGCCCAAGCUCCCUGCCACCUGCUCAGAGAUAAGGAUCGUCAUCAUGGCUUGUUUGCUUGGACACACACAUGCACAAGGACACACACGUGCACACACAUAUCCUUCAGUCUCCUGGCUGUUGUGACCAUGGAAGGGAUGUUAAAGCUUGUAGCUGGGUUACGGCAAAUAGCAGCCUGAAUGAGCAUCUUUAGAGCUGUGUUUCAAAUAAUGCCUUGCACUGUGAUUAACAGAUUCAUGAAAACAUGCUACCUCUGGGCCAGGGGUGCAGCUCAGGGGUGUCACACCUGCUUCGCAAGUGCAAGGUCCUGAGUUCCAUCCAACUACCAAAAAAAAAAAAAGAGCUAUGUUGUAGGAUGAUUGACUUCAGGGACUGUUGCCAGCAAAAGUGCAAUGUCUCACUUGGAGUUAAAUCCUAGAACUACCUGGCCCCACAAAAACAGGAAAGAAAAAGAAAAGGUACAACUUGAAAAUACAGUGGACCCUCGAGUUAUGACCGGCCUUACCUACAAACAACUUGGGUUACAACUGGAAUUUUAGUUUUAACUUAUGACCAAAGUCUUCAGUUACAUCCAGUUUUUAGUUCUGAAAUCGUUGAGACCUCAUGAGCCAGAAGCAGGUCCCAGUGGGCUACAGACUCUCCCAAGGAGAGAAAGGACAUCAGAGAGCCGGACUCCUGAUGUUCUCAUGGAAGGAGACCCUCCUUCCACACAAUAUCCACCUUCCAUUCACCCUCCCUCCCUGCCAGCCAGAGACAUCACG